rnacentral:rRNA from 1 species
UACAGAGGGUGCGAGCGUUAAUCGGAAUUACUGGGCGUAAAGCGUGCGCAGACGGUCAUGUAAGUCGCGUGUGAAAGCCCCGGGCUCAACCUGGGAACGGCGCGCGAAACGGGAGGGCUGGAGUUCGGGAGAGGAGAGUGGAAUUCCCAGUGUAGAGGUGAAAUUCGUAGAUAUUGGGAAGAACACCGGUGGCGAAGGCGGCUCUCUGGACCGAGACUGACGCUGAGGCGCGAAAGCGUGGGGAGCAAACAGGG